rnacentral:piRNA from 1 species
UCCCCAAGGAAGUUUACAGGCCCAGGGU